CCACAUUGGGACUGAGAUACGGCCCAGACUCCUACGGGAGGCAGCAGUGGGGAAUAUUGCACAAUGGGCGCAAGCCUGAUGCAGCGACGCCGCGUGCGGGAUGACGGCCUUCGGGUUGUAAACCGCUUUUGACUGGGAGCAAGCCCUUCGGGGUGAGUGUACCUUUCGAAUAAGCACCGGCUAACUACGUGCCAGCAGCCGCGGUAAUACGUAGGGUGCAAGCGUUAUCCGGAAUUAUUGGGCGUAAAGGGCUCGUAGGCGGUUCGUCGCGUCCGGUGUGAAAGUCCAUCGCUUAACGGUGGAUCCGCGCCGGGUACGGGCGGGCUUGAGUGCGGUAGGGGAGACUGGAAUUCCCGGUGUAACGGUGGAAUGUGUAGAUAUCGGGAAGAACACCAAUGGCGAAGGCAGGUCUCUGGGCCGUCACUGACGCUGAGGAGCGAAAGCGUGGGGAGCGAACAGGAUUAGAUACCCUGGUAGUCCACGCCGUAAACGGUGGAUGCUGGAUGUGGGGACCAUUCCACGGUCUCCGUGUCGGAGCCAACGCGUUAAGCAUCCCGCCUGGGGAGUACGGCCGCAAGGCUAAAACUCAAAGAAAUUGACGGGGGCCCGCACAAGCGGCGGAGCAUGCGGAUUAAUUCGAUGCAACGCGAAGAACCUUACCUGGGCUUGACAUGUUCCCGACAGCCGUAGAGAUACGGUCUCCCUUCGGGGCGGGUUCACAGGUGGUGCAUGGUCGUCGUCAGCUCGUGUCGUGAGAUGUUGGGUUAAGUCCCGCAACGAGCGCAACCCUCGCCCUGUGUUGCCAGCACGUCGUGGUGGGAACUCACGGGGGACCGCCGGGGUCAACUCGGAGGAAGGUGGGGAUGACGUCAGAUCAUCAUGCCCCUUACGUCCAGGGCUUCACGCAUGCUACAAUGGCCGGUACAACGGGAUGCGACCUCGUGAGGGGGAGCGGAUCCCUUAAAACCGGUCUCAGUUCGGAUUGGAGUCUGCAACCCGACUCCAUGAAGGCGGAGUCGCUAGUAAUCGCGGAUCAGCAACGCCGCGGUGAAUGCGUUCCCGGGCCUUGUACACACCGCCCGUCAAGUCAUGAAAGUGGGUAGCACCCGAAGCCGGUGGCCCAACCUUUUGGGGGGAGCCGUCUAAGGUGAGACUCGUGAUUGGGACUAAGUCGUAACAAGGUAGCCGUACCGGAAGGUGCGGCUG
rnacentral:rRNA from 1 species